GUGGACUUGAGUGGUGAGUGUUGCACCUCUUGUGUCCUGGUGAACCUGUGACUCAUCCUUGAAUAUCCAGGCGUGAUGGCGUGGUGGGUGGCGGUGGUAUCAGUGGUGGCGGGGUUGUGCGGGCUGCCGGUGGCUGCCGAGAACAUAAACGAUACCAUCAACGACCUGUUCUGGCCUCUGACGGAUGUCCAAGAAGGCAGAUUUUUCAGCUAUGAUAAAGUGACGCCUUUCAACGCCAGUAUAUCCUUCACUAUCCCCCUCUUCUCCUUCACACUGCCUGGAGCGAAUGACUUUACAGCAUCUGGCCUCAGUACUCAGUCCUUCGCGUAUCUGACUUUCAUAUCACUCUUCUUGCUUGGUGCCUUUGGAGUGGCUGUUUACACCGCAACCCAUAAAGCCUGGCUGCCUGGGGGUAGGGAGGACUCAGAGGCAAAGUACUUACAGGAUUCCUUUCUGACCAAUCGCGUCGUAGAGUCAGUCCUGGAACUGCCCAAGGUGGUGGAUACGAGAAGCUGUGCCAGUCUGGCUAUCUGUGGGGCCUACGCUGAUCGACACACAUACGGCUACCUAGCCUGGCCCAUCAGAUUCCUCUCGCAGUUCACGUCCGGUACAGCUGAGGAGACGGAGACGGAGUUCCAGAAGGCGGCAAAGUACGGGGAGGAGGAUGGCCAAGACUGCCUGUACGAGUUCCCAUGUCUCGUCCAACCCCUUGACCUCCUCCUCUUCAUGCAUGACUACUGGCUCGGUAGCGAGUAGAGGGCAGCGAGUAGAGGGCAGCGAGUAGAGGAGAGCGAGUAGAGGGUAGCGAGUAGAGGGCAGCGAGUAGAGGAGAGCGAGUAGAGGGCAGCGAGUAGAGGGCAGCGAGUAGAGGGCAGCGAGUAGAGGGCAGCGUCUCCCGAGGCGGGCCUUGGGAGCUGCAACACGACAAGGCUUGAAGGAGAGGUCACUUCUGAAAGCUUAGCAUGGCGAAAAUCGUCAAUGGAUUUUCUGGGCAUUUUUUUCAUAAAAUUAGUCGAGCGGGCAUUUGAGUAGUUUGCUGAUGAAACAAGGAAAUGCUUGUCUUGGCUCCUGUCACUACAAGAAACUUACAAAUGGCAUUAUUAUCAAGGUUUCCUUCUCUAGUUUGGAGACUACGAAGGGUUAUCGUGCACCUGGUUAUCGUCGCUGCAAUACGCGACCCGUUCUUAUGGCAUAAAUAUAUCAGUGAUAAACAUUAAGUCUCACAGUAAUCAGAGAGUUUACGUUAUUUAGUCGAGGGGGGACUGUGUUACUCAUCAUUGACUUAGAUGAAUCAUGGAUGAGUGGGACACAAAGUACAGACAUGAUAUAUUCAUCACAAACACUUCUGGUGACAAUUAUUGACCUUAUUACAGGAAAAUGGCAUCAAUGACCUUAACAACAUGGUUUUACACAUCAAAACUACCCUAAAAACGCAUUAAAUAAAUUACCAAUGAUAAUUAAUCUUUCAAAAGUGAUAAUCUUAGGUAGGCCUAGUUCACUGAUAUUCUUGGGUAGGCCUAGUUUAGUGACACUGUAAAAUAUAAAAAUACAGAUUUUUAUAAAUGACCAAAGGACAUGAAACAAUGGCGAAUGCACAUUAAAUCUGACGCUAUCGAAUACAACAUCAAAAUAAUCCAGUGCUUUAGGCAAAACUG
rnacentral:misc_RNA from 1 species